GAUUGGUAGGACUACCCGCUGAACUUAAGCAUAUCAAUAAGCGGAGGAAA
rnacentral:rRNA from 1 species